GAUGAACGCUGGCGGCGUGCCUAAUACAUGCAAGUCGAGCGAACGGACGAGAAGCUUGCUUCUCUGAUGUUAGCGGCGGACGGGUGAGUAACACGUGGAUAACCUACCUAUAAGACUGGGAUAACUUCGGGAAACCGGAGCUAAUACCGGAUAAUAUUUUGAACCGCAUGGUUCAAAAGUGAAAGACGGUCUUGCUGUCACUUAUAGAUGGAUCCGCGCUGCAUUAGCUAGUUGGUAAGGUAACGGCUUACCAAGGCAACGAUGCAUAGCCGACCUGAGAGGGUGAUCGGCGACACUGGAACUGAGACACGGUCCAGACGCCUACGGGAGGCAGCAGUAGGGAAUCUUCCGCAAUGGGCGAAAGCCUGACGGAGCAACGCCGCGUGAGUGAUGAAGGUCUUCGGAUCGUAAAACUCUGUUAUUAGGGAAGAACAUAUGUGUAAGUAACUGUGCACAUCUUGACGGUACCUAAUCAGAAAGCCACGGCUAACUACGUG
rnacentral:rRNA from 1 species